UACUUACCUGUAACGUCGCCAGAG
rnacentral:rasiRNA from 1 species